ACUCCUACGGGAGGCAGCAGUGGGGAAUAUUGCACAAUGGGGGAAACCCUGAUGCAGCCAUGCCGCGUGUGUGAAGAAGGCCUUCGGGUUGUAAAGCACUUUCAGUAGGGAGGAAGGUAGUGUAGUUAACACCUGCAUUAUUUGACGUUACCUACAGAAGAAGCACCGGCUAACUCCGUGCCAGCAGCCGCGGUAAUACGGAGGGUGCGAGCGUUAAUCGGAAUUACUGGGCGUAAAGCGCAUGCAGGCGGCCUGUUAAGUCAGAUGUGAAAGCCCGGGGCUUAAACCUCGGAAUUGCAUUUGAAAACUGGCAGGCUAGAGUCUUGUAGAGGGGGGUAGAAUUUCAGGUGUAGCGGUGAAAUGCGUAGAGAUCUGAAGGAAUACCAGUGGCGAAGGCGGCCCCCUGGACAAAAGACUGACGCUCAGAUGCGAAAAGCGUGGGGAGCAAACAGGAUUAGAUACCCUGGUAGGAUAGCG
rnacentral:rRNA from 1 species